rnacentral:rRNA from 1 species
AGCAUGUGGUUUAAUUCGACGCAACGCGAAGAACCUUACCAGGGCUUGACAUCCCCUGACCGCGUAUGAAAGUACGUUUUCACCCUCGGGUGACAGGGAGACAGGUGGUGCAUGGUUGUCGUCAGCUCGUGUCGUGAGAUGUUGGGUUAAGUCCCGCAACGAGCGCAACCCCUACGUUUAGUUGCUAACAGGUGAAGCUGAGCACUCUAGACGAACUGCCGUUGACAAAACGGAGGAAGGUGGGGAUGACGUCAAAUCAUCAUGCCCCUUAUGUUCUGGGCUACACACGUGCUACAAUGGCCGGUACAGACGGAGGCGAAGCCGCGAGGCGGAGCAAAUCCGAAAAAGCCGGUCUCAGUUCGGAUUGCAGGCUGCAAUUCGCCUGCAUGAAGUCGGAAUCGCUAGUAAUCGCAGGUCAGCAUACUGCGGUGAAUACGUUCCCGGGCCUU